rnacentral:rRNA from 1 species
AUUUAACGCUGGCGGCAGGCCUAACACAUGCAAGUCGAGCGAGCGGCGGAAGGGUAAGUAAUGCCUGGGAAUUGCCCAGUCGAGGGGGAUACCAGUUGGACACGACUGCUAAUACCGCAUACGAUUGGAUUGCCCAGGUGGGAUUAGCUAGUUGGGGAGUGAAUGGCUCACAAAGGCGACGGUCCCUAGCUGGUUUGAGAGGAUGAUCAGCCACACUGGAACUGAGACACGGGCCAGACUCCUAGGGGAGGCAGCAGUGGGGAAUAUUGCAGAAUGGGGGAAACCCUGAUGCAGCCAUGCCGCGUGUGUGAAGAAGGCCUUCGGGUUGUAAAGCACUUUCAGCGAGGAGGCGUUACUCGCAGAAGAAGCACCGUCUAACUCCGUGCCAGCAGCCGCGGUAAUUC